rnacentral:rRNA from 1 species
CAGCAGCCGCGGUAAUACGAAGGGGGCUAGCGUUGCUCGGAAUGACUGGGCGUAAAGGGCGCGUAGGCGGAUUGUUUAGUUAGGCGUGAAAUUCCUGGGCUUAACCUGGGGACUGCGCUUAAUACAGGCAGUCUAGAGUGAGGAAGAGGGUUGUGGAAUUCCCAAUGUAGAGGUGAAAUUCGUAGAUAUUGGGAAGAACACCGGUGGCGAAGGCGGCAACCUGGUCCUUGACUGACGCUGAGGCGCGAAAGCGUGGGGAGCAAACAGGAUUAGAUACCCGCGUAGUCCCUGUCUCUUAUAC